UACGAAGGGUGCAAGCGUUACUCGGAAUUACUGGGCGUAAAGCGUGCGUAGGCGGCUUGUUAAGUCCGUUGUGAAAGCCCUGGGCUCAACCUGGGAAUUGCAGUGGAUACUGGCAAGCUAGAGUACGGUAGAGGAUGGUGGAAUUCCCGGUGUAGCGGUGAAAUGCGUAGAGAUCGGGAGGAACACCCGUGGCGAAGGCGGCCAUCUGGACCAGUACUGACGCUGAGGCACGAAAGCGUGGGGAGCAAACAGG
rnacentral:rRNA from 1 species